GUAACAGUGCCAUCUAUGUAUAAAUAGAUGUGCAUGAAGAAAACUGGAAGGGCAUACACAAAACGUGAUACCAGUGGAUGCUUUUGUUCAGGCCUCUCUGCCCUGUGGACCAUAAGCAAAUGCUAAACCUUCGAAGCAGCACCACACAGUUCCUGGGUUAUAAAGGCUUUGUUCCUCAGAUGCUCAGGUCCCCAGAAGGUCAGCUCUCUGGGGCAGGCCAAGCCUGUAGCGUUCACUGGCUUCUCCACAAGCUUAUGAAUAAAGCUGAAACUGUGAACUGUUCAAAAAAGAAAAUAGGUGAUUUGAUUUACAACAAGUUAGUAAAGGAAAACAGUAAGAUUCGGGAACAUCUGCCUUCCAGCAGAAUAUUCUUUGUGUUUCUAAUAAAACCAGGAAGCCAAGUGGAUGGAAGAACUGAUUUGAGAUGUGUGAUGCUGAUCCUUGUGUUAUGUUGGCACAAAUAUGGGCAAUUAGGACACAACUUCACACAACAGUGGGGCAAGAAAGUGAAAUAAGGAAUAGAGGGAUAUCUAGCGAUAAUAGGGUUGAUUAUGUGACAGGCACAUUUAUGGCGAAGCAAAGAGGAAGGGAUUUGGCAUCAAUUAACAGACUUCCUGAGUUCAAACCUGACUCCCUUACUUGCUUAACUUAUCUAAGCGUCAGUUUCCCCAUCUGUGAAAUGAAGAGAGUAAUAUCAUAGGGUCUUUUUGGAGGCACCAAUAAAAUAAAACCUGUAAGACA
rnacentral:lncRNA from 1 species